GAUGAAGAAAUGCUUGAGAAGGUUGCUACUCCUUUUAGGCCAAACUUCAUGAUUGCUAAUGUGAGUGCGUAUCUUCAAGAUAUUGAACAUUGUCACAAUCAACAGAUAUAACAGUUGUGCAUUAUCUUAUAAUUUUUGAGCAAUUGAGUCGUUGCUAACUAAUUUUCUUUUCCUGAGCUUUGGUUUUUCAGCUUGGGAAUAUCUUAUGUAAGUUGAUGGUGGUAAGCAUAUAGCCAUGUACAACUUGGUUCACUUUUAGGCGUUGUUCUGUAAGCGAUUUAUUUGUGCAAAGAUAGAUUAUAGAAAUUCUUAUAAAGUUAUAAACCAUGCUGAAAUUUACUUGAAUGAUAUAAUAAUGUAGUUAUAUUUUUAAAGAAGCCUCGAAUUAGAUCGUUACCUCUUGGAUGGAGAGGAGGGACCACUAUCAAGAAAUGUUGGCAAUGGUCUUUGGUGUUUCUAUUCACUUUUUUGGUUUAGUUUGUAUGUCCUAUAAUUUUUAAGCUUCAAGGAAACAUAUAAAAGAUAGGUUAAUUUUAUUGUUAUUUAUUUAGUAACGAGUUUGUGAUUAUUAUUUCUUGUUGUAUUUUUGUUUGCUUUUUAAUUUCUAUUUUAACAUUUUCCCUGUAGUGUGAAAGCUAUAGUUCUCCUCACAUGGUUACAGUUUCUAUAGCAAAUUAUGAUAUUGUCUACUUCCAGCUCUUGUAGCAGUUUAAAAAGUCUUGUAACUUCUUUUAAUGAGUAAUGUGGUUCUUAUGGCAAAGUUUGUAAUUUUACUGUGCAUACAUUUCUUCUCCAUACACAGCAUUGCAUAAUGGUAUACUUGUAACCCAAACAAUUUGAAUUUGGACCUUUGUUCAUGAUGUUUUCUUUUGUGACAAUUUUGACAUUUAGAAUUGAAGACUGUUCUUUGAACUGUUGCCUAACAUUCAGGGGUUGAAUCUUUGAACUGUUGCCUAACAUUCAGGGGUUGAAUCUACCAUAAGGAGGGCUUCUAUGUCAUGGAUUGGUGACUGCAAUGAGACGGGUAGUUGCUAUGUAAUUUUAUUUGUAAUCCAUCCCAUACUGUAUACAAGAAUCCAUAGUUGUGCUUGUUUUUUUUGGAUGUUAAUAUUGAAUGCAAUAAAGUCCAAAAUUUAAGAAUUAUUUGUUGUGAUUUAUGCAAGAUUGAAUUUUUAUUUUAUUUGUUUUCUUUUGAGUUCCAAGAUUCAUUCAUUAUGAAAUACUUGAUAUGACUGCUAUGUUUUUGAGGACAAAGCUCAGGAUUGCUGGUGCCAGUGUAUAUCCUUAAGAGAUUGACUAUGAUCACUUUUGGCAGGUAUAACUGUUGCAUAUUUUAGCAUAAUUUUUGAGGAAUUGAGCCAUUCUUAACUAAUUUUGAUAUCUGGAAUUUUAGUAUCUUAAGUAUGGGUACAUCUUUUGUAAGUUUAUGUUGGAUGACAUGGCAGGUAGCUGGGCACAAUUUGUGGAGUUCUAGGCACUUUUCAGUAAAGGAUUUGUCUGUCUAAAGUUAGAAUAUAUAAAUUCUUACAAACCAUGAUGAAGUUUGCUUGAUUUAAUUUGUUGAGAAGAAAGUGUCAACCUGGCAAAUUAAUAAUUUUUUUUUCUUUUCGAUUAUCUAUUGGUGUUGAAGUCGAUUGGAUAGGGUAUUGGUAAGAUGUUAGUAAGAUUGCAAAUGUAGGCCUUUAGGCUCGCUAUUGGGACUUCCUUUAGCUCUCUUGGCCUUCUUGAAUGCUGAUGUAGGUGUUUUUAUUUAGAUGGUGGAUCAAUAAGUUUAGUAUUUAUCGAUUAUAGUGUUUUGACUUCCGAUAUGCAACAUUGUAAACUACAACAACAUAUAUUAUUGUUGUAAUAUUUAUUUGUUAUGAAUAUAGUCUUCUUUACUCCUAUUGCAAACCUCAAUUAGAUAAGACUCAUAAGAGCCUUUUCCUUAUAUGAAGUAUCUUUGGCCUAUUAAAUGAAAUUCUAUAGGUUUUCUGCCCUUUUUGACAGUUUAAAUUUCUUUUGCAGGGGAGUUAUGCCUUGCUUGCAUUGAAUUUUUUGGGAUAACUCUUUUUCCUUCUACGGCACUGACAGUGACAGGAAGAUUACAAACGCCAGCAACCUUACUCAAAGCUCAGUCUAAGUUUAAUCAACAUGUUCCAAUACAAUGCCUCUGUUGCAGAAUCAAGGUUCACAAUACAUCUGAUUAUAGCAAGUGUAAUUUUUGCAUAAACUUGAAUUCCACAAGCCUACCAAUGACUCCAACUGUUACAACAGAUUGCAUAAUUGACAAUAAUAGUGAGAUGAGCAUAGAGGGCUGUUCCCACUCAAAAUACCUUUAGAUUUUACUCAAAUUAGAACAAUAUUCUGCAAAUAAAAUGAAAGUAGCGACCAUAAAUAUAUUGGAAACCAGAAAAGGCUCAGUUCUCCCACAUCCAAACUGGGAAAGCAGCUUUUCAGGCCAUAAUACUCAAUCAUGCGAUCCGACAAAUGUUGGAAUGCUAAAUUAAUUCUGCCAAAGACUGUCGGCACUGACCGACCAGCCUCAUGCAGGUCCACCUCACCUGUCCACUGUUGAUGUCAAUCUUAUCCUCUACCUAGCCAUAUCUUCAUGAGCAGUCCAACCCUAUCUCUACCCACCUACCCAUGAUAAAUGUUGUAGCAGAGAAUUCAUAAUUUAUUGUUCUAUAAAUUAAAUCAAUAUGAAUGCAAUAUCAGAGCUCCUUUGUGAGUUUCUCCUC